UGGCUUUGGGUAGAUAAAAACUUGAGAUAAUUAAUCGAUUUUCGUUCUUGCAGUUGUGAAGCAAGUGGAGCAGCUGAAAAAUGAUUCUUCCAAAACCAAGGGCAAAGCAAUCAAUGAGCAAGAGGUUGUUACCGGUGUAACCAGAGACAAAGGCAAGAAAAUUGUAGGACGCUCUGUCCCUAUUGUUAGUAAAGCCGGGAACUUGAUGGUUGUUGGAGAAAACCUAGCCAAAGGAGCAUUGAAUUGCGCACAAAACAUAGAAAUGAUCCAUUAUUGGCUGAUUUCAAAAAGGCUAUGAUUGAAGGUGUUUCCCGUAAGAGAAAAGUCAAUGCAUCGACAAAGCAGAAUGUUGGUGUGGUGAUUGGUGGAGGUGAAGACAUUCCAGCACAUGACGUGCUAGAAAUUCCAGCUGCUGCCCAGAAAAAAAACAAGGCAUGAAAAGAGAAAGG